GAUAAUUUUUUGUCUACUCUUUGCUUGUAAAAUUUCAGAAUUUUUUGAUUUUGUUUGCUAUUAAUCUGGGUUGUUUUUGUAAAACUGGUCAGUUUUGGUUCAAUUUGGUAUGUGCUUCUGUUUUAGUUCGUUUUUCUUAGAGUUGUGUUGAGAUUUUUCUGUGAUAUUCCUGUGUGAUUGCGGGUGUUUUAAGAGUGUUUCAUUCAUAUAAAUUGCAUCCUUUCUACUGCUAUACUCUGUGUGGUUUUUUGCUCUAAUUUGUUCUAUCAAUUUCUGAAUAGGAACAGGUCAUCAAUGAUCAGUGAUUGUGAAAAAUAUAGCUCUCUUAAUGAGAUUAUUAGUUCUAUCAACAUCUGAUUUACAAUCAGCAUUACCUAUUUUUGUAGAGGAGUCUGACUAAGCAAGUUGUGGUCGUCUUUUCUUGUUGUGAGUUGUGACUGGUAAAAUUCCAUUUAGAACUUAUUAAAUAUAAUGAGAUAGACUUCUUUGAUCUCCACCCGCAAAGCAAAAUCAGACUAAGAGGGUGACAACAUUUUUAAACUUCUGCAAAGCAGAUAAAGGCAUACUUUUGUGCACUGAUCUUGCUUUUGUGGACUUGAAAUUCCUUCUGUGGAUUGGAUUGUACUGUAUGAUCCUCCAGCUGACCCAAAGGUACGCGAUUUUACUGGCUUCCUGUAUAGCUAGCUUCAUUUGAUUCGGUUAGUUAUACGUUGGCUCUUUUCGUGGGGAAGGUGCAAAGGGUAAUGCUUUGCUUUUCCUGAUUCCAGAAGAGUUGCAGUAUCUUAGUUAUUUGGAGGUAUGAAUAUAUUCGAUAAGCAAUAAUUAAAGUUUAUAUGGUGAAGGUGAAGUCAGAUGGAUGUGGGUUGGACUUAAACUGUAGGAACUCAAUCACGAAUCCUAGUGAAAUAGUUUGGAGAUAAGCCCCAAAGACUGACUACAAACUAUGGGCCGAAACCUCAGUUACGUUAAGUUCUUGGUUAUGAUAGCCUGCUAGGUAUUUCCAGUUGUUUCUUCAUGUGUACUCUGUAACCUUUUUUUAGCUCAAUAUGCAAAUUUUUGAUGCAGAGUGAGGAGGUACCUGUAAAAGAGUAUAUUUUCGAUACAACAAAGCUGGCAAAUGUGCAGUCUCAUCUGGAUAAUUUGGUAACAAAUAAUAAUGACUUGCUCAAAUCAGCUAAAGAUGCAUACAGGGCCUACUUGAUGUCAUAUGUUUCGCAUUCCAUGAAAGCUGUUUUCAAUGUUCGCCAACUUAAAUGAUAGGUUGGUUUUGGAUGCAGUCUGGGUUCAAUAUUAUUUCAAGCUUGUUCUACAAGCACCUUCGAAAGGGUGAACGACUUAAGAACGGAUGUUUUCUACAUGCAAUUCUCAGAUUGUUUUGUUUUAGAAAUCACAAUUAUGUUCUAUUUUGUUUAGUUCCAAUCACCUCUUAUCAUUUUGUUCUUUUAGGAUGACAUACAUGUCCUUUGUAGUUGAAAUUAAAGUUGGUGACAUUUGUAAUUUUCAAGUAAAUCAUUUUUCAUAUUUUAUAAUUGAUGAUGUAGAUCGAUGUCGAUUAAAUUGGACCUUA